UAUCAAAUGUGUUCGAUAAAUUAAGCUGUCGAGUUGUCAGUUUUACUUUAGACGGUGAUUAUUUGUUGUAUGCUCUUGAAAGUUAGUCUCAAACGUUUUACAUUGACAGUACAGCAAUGGACAAAACCCAUACCGUAUAUUUAGGUUCAAAAGAGCCCACUAUGACAAAAUGUAACACAAGUCCCUUUAAUUCAAUUCUUUGAAAU
rnacentral:lncRNA from 1 species